rnacentral:rRNA from 1 species
UCAAGCGACUAAGUGCAUGUGGUGGAUGCCUUGGCGGUUACAGGCGAUGAAGGACGUAGUAGCCUGCGAUAAGCCUCGGGGAGCUGGCAAACGAGCUUUGAUCCGAGGAUUUCCGAAUGGGGAAACCCGGCCCUUUUGGGUCACUCCCUGCUGAAUACAUAGGCAGGGUAGAGCGAACGCAGUGAACUGAAACAUCUAAGUAGCUGCAGGAAAAGAAAUCAACCGAGAUUCCGUAAGUAGUGGCGAGCGAACACGGAGAAGCCUCCACGUUUUAGCCAUUCAUUUAGCAGAACGGUCUGGAAAGUCCGGCGAUAGUGGGUGAUAGCCCCGUAUGCGAAAAAUGAGUGGUGGAACUAGGCGUGGGACAAGUAGGGCGGGGCACGAGAAACCCUGUCUGAACAUGGGGGGACCAUCCUCCAAGGCUAAAUACUCGUAACCGACCGAUAGUGAACCAGUACCGUGAGGGAAAGGCGAAAAGAACCCCGGGAGGGGAGUGAAAUAGAUCCUGAAACCGCAUGCAUACAAACAGUGGGAGCCCCGCAAGGGGUGACUGCGUACCUUUUGUAUAAUGGGUCAGCGACUUACAUUCUGUGGCAAGCUUAACCGAUAGGGUAGGCGAAGCGAAAGCGAGUCUGAAUAGGGCGCAUAGUCGCAGGGUGUAGACCCGAAACCGGGUGAUCUAUCCAUGGCCAGGAUGAAGGUGGGGUAACACUCACUGGAGGUCCGAACCCACUAGUGUUGAAAAACUAGGGGAUGAGCUGUGGAUAGGGGUGAAAGGCUAAACAAACCCGGAAAUAGCUGGUUCUCUCCGAAAACUAUUGAGGUAGUGCCUCGUGAUAGGCCCUCGGGGGUAGAGCACUGUUAUGGCUAGGGGGGAGUCACAUCCCUACCAACCCAUUGCAAACUCCGAAUACCGAGGAGCCGUUUCACGGGAGACAGACAUCGGGUGCUAACGUCCGGUGUCAAGAGGGAAACAACCCAGACCGCCAGCUAAGGUCCCAAAUGCAUAGCUAAGUGGAAAACGAUGUGGGAAGGCAUAGACAGCCAGGAGGUUGGCUUAGAAGCAGCCACCCUUUAAAGAAAGCGUAAUAGCUCACUGGUCGAGUCGUCCUGCGCGGAAGAUGUAACGGGGCUCAAGCUAUGAACCGAAGCUGCGGAUGCACGCGUAAGCGUGUGUGGUAGGAGAGCGUUCCGUAGGCCUGCGAAGGUGAGGGGUAACCCUUGCUGGAGGUAUCGGAAGUGCGAAUGCUGACAUGAGUAGCGAUAAAGGGAGUGAAAAGCUCCCUCGCCGAAAGCCCCAGGUUUCCUGCGCAACGUUCAUCGGCGCAGGGUGAGUCGGCCCCUAAGGUGAGGCAGAAAUGCGUAGCUGAUGGGAAACGGGUUAAUAUUCCCGUACCGUUCUAUGAUGCGAUGGGGGGACGGAGAAGGUUAGGUUGGCCGGGUGUUGGACGUCCCGGUUUAAGCGUGUAGGCGUGCUCUUUAGGCAAAUCCGGAGAGCUUAGCCAAGGCGUGAUGACGCAAACCGCUUCGGCGGUCCAAGCAACUGAUACCAUGCUUCCAGGAAAAGCCUCUAAGCUUCAGUCAUGGAAUGACCGUACCGCAAACCGACACAGGUGGGCAGGGUGAGAAUCCUAAGGCGCUUGAGAGAACUCAGGAGAAGGAACUCGGCAAAUUAACACCGUAACUUCGGGAGAAGGUGUGCCCCAAGUAUGUGAAAGACUUCGCGUCUGGAGCAGAACGGGGUUGCAGUGAAAAGGUGGCUGCGACUGUUUAAUAAAAACACAGCACUCUGCAAACACGAAAGUGGACGUAUAGAGUGUGACGCCUGCCCGGUGCUGGAAGGUUAAGUGAUGGGGUGCAAGCUCUUGAUCGAAGCCCCAGUAAACGGCGGCCGUAACUAUAACGGUCCUAAGGUAGCGAAAUUCCUUGUCGGGUAAGUUCCGAC